UUUCUUUCCGCCAGUUUCAAAACAAAACUUCACAACUUGUCCGUUCAUGUAUUUUGGCGAGAUAAAGUGUGUUUCUAUGUCUUAUUUACCGAAUAUAACAAAUGUAAAGCAAUUAGUAAACAUCAACUGGUUCAAUUCUAUGCACAGACUGCAAUCAUGAUAAUUACAUUCUUCAUCACCAACAAUUAUUGGUGAUGGCAGAUAAAUGAUUUGAAGUUAGAAUCUCAAGAAGUUGAUUGACAUUGAUAUUUAAGUGUCAUUUAAAAAUGUCAUCAAAAGAAACAAUGAAUACAUCUGAGAAGUUGAAGAAUCUGCGGCGGCGGUUGGAACAGCUUGGUUAUAAGGAUUCUCUUGGAAUUGAAUCUUUGCCAUUGGUUGAACGGUUGUUUGUGGACCUGUUGAAAACAAUUGAAGAUCUUCGUAAGAUCAAAGUAGAACACUCCAGAAAAAGUGAUGCAGAGGAUCCAACAAUUGUUGACUCCUAUAAAAAUGAUAAUGCUAAAUUGGUUAAAGAGAACAAUGCUUUAAAUUUGAAACUUCUUAAAGCAACAGAAGAAAAUAAUACUGCUAUGAAAGAUCUCAAGUCUUCCCUGCGAAAAUCUGAGCACACGCUUGCAGAUAUAAAGUUCUUAAACAAUCAAUAUUUACAUAAGAUAAAGUUAUUGGAGAAAGAAUCUAAAGAAAAAUCAGACAGAAUUCAACAACUGCAAGAGAAAAACUUCCAUGCUGUGGUUCAAACUCCAGGUGGCAAAAAGAAGAAUAUUCCCUUCCGUCGGCAGCGUAUGGUGGUUGAUUGCCUGAUACCUCCAGCAGAACCUGAUUUACCAUCUCCGCCUCCAGUUCCUGAUCCAUAUAUAGCAGAUAUGCUGGAAACCGCCGAUAAACGGAUUGCAGAAAAUGAAGAACAAGUUACAGAAUUGAAAGAUAACAAAGAAUUAUUGGAAAGUAAAUUGGAGGCUUUUAAGGAACAGGUUUCUGCAAGAGAUGAUGAAAUAGACAGAUUAAACAAAAUGUUGAGUGGAGGCCGACCAUCAGAUACAUUGGCCCUUGAGGUCAAAAACAGAGCCAACGAAAAGAUGAUUUCUCACCUUAACAUUCAGGUGGAUAUCUUGCAAGAACAGAACCGAGAAUUACAGCAUCGUCUUCAUGAAAGCACUGAGAAGAGAGAUGAUGUCCAGGAUGAGAUGUUUAAGUUGAAUAAGAAGAAUGCUGAUCUCCAACUACAGAUGAGAAAUAUUGAUCGUAAAGCUAAACUGUUGCAAAAUGAUAAAGAAUAUGUAGUGAAAGCGGCUGACUCUGAAAUAAAUGUCGCAAAGAAAGAAUUACUUAAAUCACGGCAACAACUUGAAGAUUUAGAUCGUUGUAUAUCACAGCUGAAGUCUGAGAAUGAACAGCUACAAACAGAAUUGGAAGAUGCAGAGACUCAGAACAGCAAUAAAACAACUAGCCUUAAGAAACUGGAGAUGUUGCUGGACAAAGUUCAAGAAGAAAAACGUCGCAUGAUACAUAAAGUGAAUAAACUAACGGCCAACGAGAAAGAACUGAUUUUAGAGAAUGAGCAGCUAAAACACAGAGGUACCAUAACCAAAAAAGGUAAAGUUCCAGCUCGAGUCGAAAGUUUGAUUAAAACUCUUGAAGAAGACAGAAACUAUUACCGUGACCAAGCUACCAGUCUACAAAAGACGAUACAAAGUGAUCCGAGUGGAAGCAGCAAUCGAAAGACUAGACUUCCUAGAUCCAGAUCAGCAAGUCCUAAUAAAGAAAUGAUAUCUCUUCCUGAUAAACUUGACAAGAAGACAAUUUCUCAUUACGAACGAAUAUGUCAGUUGUUGGAGCAAGAACGGGAUUACUUUAAAUCCGAAUACGAACAGCUGAAAGCUAUCAGGAGAUCUACGAGUCCCAAACGUCCUCAAUCUAACAAGAACCAGAAUUACAAUGAUGAAGAAUUACAGAAAGCAAGAGAAGAAAGGGACAAGAUGAAAGACAUGCUUGAGAAAUUUGAACGUCAUAUGAACGAGGUUCGUGCUAAUGUAAAAGUGUUAACUAAAGAACGAGACAACCUCAAAGACAUGUAUGAUGGAGCCAAGGAGGAACUCCAGAAAUUGAGACGAGAAAUACUUCGCUCUCCAAAAUCACCCAGAACAUCGUUAGCUGCUCAAGCCGUGUUGCGCCAAGUAGAGAAUGAACGAGAUAAUGCCUCAGCUGACCUUCAGAGAAUAAUGACGGAGAGAGACAGCUUACAAGAAAGACUUCGGCUGUCCACAGAUUCAUCGUUAACUGAACGAGCUCAUCUGGAACAGAAAGUGGAAGAUCUUAGUUGCCAGUUAAGUCUAAGUGAAGUUGAGCGAGAUGAGUUACAGUUACGUGUGAACAAUCUGAAAGAUGACGUCCAUUCGUUGGAAGAGCGAAUCAAGAAUCAGGCAGUUCAAUAUCAGGAUUCCCAUGAAGAGCUUUCCAAACAAAGGAUGACAGCAACACAAAUGAGACUUUUAGCUGAAGAGGCAGAGCGUUCUUUGUCUGAAAUCCAACGCCGUUUAAACCACCGUGAAGAAGACAUUCAUAAUCAAACCCACAAAAUAAGCAAUUUAGAAGAACAACUGCAAGAAUAUGAGAAAGUUUCACACCAGAGCCGCAAUGAAAUCAACCAGCUUCAGUCUACAAUUAAUGCCAUGGAUCGAGAGAAAGAUUCUUUACAGAUGACUGUUGAUGAAAAAACAGAACGUUUGGCUGUUUUUAGGGAGGAACUUCUUGCAAAGGACAGAACCAUAAGUGACUUUAAAGUGCAAAUCAGUCAGCUUGAAUCUCAGCUUGAACAUGUGAACAGCAGUCUUUCUCUAAAAGAACGUGAGAUGAAGAGUAUAAAGAGGCAGUUUGAUAAGAUGUCUGAUGAAUUCAACGAAACCAGUCGCAAUAAAGAUGCAGUUCUACGUGAGAAUAAACGGCUUCAAGAAGACUUAGCUGUAAUGACAAGUGAAAAUCAAGUUAUCAAUAAAGAUCUGCAAAAUUGUUUAGAAGAGAAAGAUUCUUUAAAGAAGCAAAUUCAAAGCUACAUGAUGGAAGUGCAAAGAGUUGGCGAUUUGCUGUCAUCAAAGGAACAAGAACGCUCUGACAUGCUGGAGCAAUAUCGUACUUUGUCUGCUGAAGCGGAGCAGUACCAAAAUACCAAUCAUCAACUGGAGACUGAGGGUUCAAAUCUUCGUUUAGAAGUUAUUUCGAAAGAAUCUGAAAUUAGAAUGCUUAAAGAGAAGCUGGAACGCAUGGAUAUAGAAAUUCAUGAGCACCUAGGAGCACAGCAAGCUUAUGAACUCCAAGUUUCCAAUUUGAAUCGUACUUUGUCAAAACUGGAAGAGAAUCUUCAGCAGUAUGAUGAUGAGAAACAAAACUUGACUCAAGAUAUUAAUGCAGUUCGAGAUCUUUGUUGCCGCUUGGAAGCAUCCAAAGAGUCAUUACAGAGACAGGUUACAGCUGUUUCUGUGGAAAAAGAACAGUCAAAGCCAGAGCAGAGACAUUGCUUCUCUUCGGACAAGGAAUGUUGAACUGGAAGGAGAUAUAGAACGAUUUCGACGACAGCUAACCAGUGAGAAAUUCGAACGUGAGCGUGCUGUACAAGAACUUCGUCGUCAUGGUAUUUCUCCACCAAUUACUGGAGAUUAUUCAAGUAUUUCCAGAUCCACAAGUCCAUCCAA
rnacentral:misc_RNA from 1 species